ACGAGAGGCAACGAGACCGAGGAAAAUAACCGUGCCGUCUAAGUCAUGCCGAAUCACAGGAUCGAUUUCACCUGACAGCUUGAUGGUCUUAGUUUUGCUGUUAAUGGAUUUUGUUCUUUGACUGCACAUUUCUGAGAUACCAUUUCACAUCAUUUUUUUCUGAAAAAUUAAGAUAAGUACAUCAUAUUUGUUCUUCUUCUGUAUUUAGAUUAUGAGAAUUAUACAGAGAUUAUGUGAAUUAUUAUUAUUUUCCCAUAUAAAGGCUUUAUACUGCAUUUCAACAUAAAAGAUGGUAUGAAAUCAAUUCAGUUAAAAUAUUUUCAAUUUGAGGUGCUAAACGUUUUAUAUGCAUCAGAAAAGGUUAGGAAACAUAGGGUUAGGAACAACGAACAAGAGGCUUUUCCUGUUUUAAUGGGAGUUUAGAGGCACUUUUAUUUUAUUUUAUUUAUUUUGCGCAUUAAAUGCACUACAUAAAAUAAAGUUUAUUUUUUAACAUUAAUAAACCUUUAUGAGGUGUCAGAUAACAUCACACUAAUACAUAACAAUGUGAAAGCGUCAGAAUGGUGAUCCAGGUGACAUCAGACGACUUACUUUCAAGCCUUAUAAAAAGGGGUCACAGUCAUCAAAUCACAUAAGUUUCCGUUUCGCCAUGGGUCAGAAUCUGUGCAUCCAAAGAGGAACCGAGGCCUGCAAGGCCAAAGGCCCAAGGCCAGAUUGGCCCCCGGGCGACCAUGAAAUCACUCGGAAGAAAAGAAGGAGGAGGACCCAAAAAAAAGAGCAGAGGAGAAGGACGGAGAGUUCCCCCUUUUCCUUGUGCACCUCGCCACGGUGUUUGUGUGCUGCGGGGCAGUGAACCCC